rnacentral:rRNA from 1 species
GUCCUAGCCCUAAACGAUGCUCAUUAGAUGUGGGAGGUAUCGACCCCUUCCGCGUCGCAGCUAACGCAUUAAAUGAGCCGCCUGGGGAGUACGGCCGCAAGGUUGAAACUCAAAGGAAUUGACGGGGGCCCGCACAAGCGGUGGAACAUGUGGUUUAAUUCGACGCAACGCGAAGAACCUUACCUGGGCUUGAACUACUCGUGGUAGUCCGCUGGAAACAGUGGGCGACCCGCAAGGGAGCGAGCAGAGGUGCUGCAUGGUUGUCGU